rnacentral:rRNA from 3 species
GGGUUGUGAGGUUAAGCGACCAAGCGUACACGGUGGAUGCCCUGGCAGUCAGAGGCGAUGAAGGACGUGCUAAUCUGCGAUAAGCGCCGGUAAGGUGAUAUGAACCGUUAUAACCGGCGAUUUCCGA